UGUCGGUUGGUUUUUGUUUG
rnacentral:miRNA from 1 species